rnacentral:lncRNA from 1 species
AAAGACAUAUGAGCCUACACGUCCCAUACCGUGUAGAUGUCUCUAAUAUACGACCUAACAAAUCAGUAAUAUCUCACCACAUGUACCUCUUUUGUUAGUCGUCUUGUUAUACUCAUGGUCUCCCGAUCCGCAACCCGAUAAGAUCGUUUUAUCGAUGUCCGCCAUCGACAGGGCAUACUUUCCCUACAUUUGUGCACGUGUGGGCUAAUCAUAGAUCCCGAGGACAAACCAUGAGGAAACUCAACUACACAAAAUGUAUCUGUUCUAAUAAUCUCAUUCUCCUCUCCAUAAUCUCCAUUCUCAUAAUUUCUCACUAUUCCUGUCACACCCCUGACCCGGUGUCGGUGGUUUCCAAGCACCUGACGUCGGAUCCGAGGUGUGAGCGGGAAAAGUAAAAGAAAAUAAUACAAUUUCAAAUACUUUUCCAGAAAUAAAAGAAAAUAAAACGUUUACAAUAACAAAAACAAUUACAAAGACAAAACAAACAAGUCUGGCGUUCUAUCUCACUUCUAGUCUUCCGUAAUCCUUAUUGGCUCUCUUGUACACGUCAGCUAAACUAGACUUCUCAAAAAACAUGGCAUACCUGAACAAAAAUCUAUAAGGGUGAGCUUACGCUCAGUAGGGCCAAACCUUUUUAAGUUAUACUUAACUACGUCGCACAAUCAAGUUAUCAAAUAACAAACAAUUCUUUAAAUAUAAAUAAUGACAAUUCAAUGCAUAUAUGCAAAUGAACUUCCUCAACUCGAUUACUGGUUUAUUAGUCCAUACAUCAAAGACAUAUGAGCCUACACGUCCCAUACCGUGUAGAUGUCUCUAAUAUACGACCUAACAAAUCAGUAAUAUCUCACCACAUGUACCUCUUUUGUUAGUCGUCUUGUUAUACUCAUGGUCUCCCGAUCCGCAACCCGAUAAGAUCGUUUUAUCGAUGUCUGCCAUCGACAGGGAAUACUUUCCCUAUAUUUGUGCACGUGUGAGCUAAUCAUAGAUCCCGAGGACAAACCAUGAGGAAACUCAACUACACAAAAUGUAUCUGUUCUAAUAAUCUCAUUCUCCUCUCCAUAAUCUCCAUUCUCAUAAUUUCUCACUAUUCCUGUCACACCCCUGACCCGGUGUCGGUGGUUUCCA